rnacentral:rRNA from 1 species
GACGAACGCUGGCGGCGUGCUUAACACAUGCAAGUCGAACGGAAAGGCCCUGCUUUUGUGGGGUUCUCGAGUGGCGAACGGGUGAGUAACACGUGAGUAACCUGCCCUUGACUUUGGGAGAACUUCAGGAAACUGGGGCUAAUACCGGAUAGAAGCUCCUGCUGCAUGGUGGGGGUUGGAAAGUUUCGGCGGUGGUGGAUGGACUCGCGGCUUAUCAGCUUGUUGGUGUGGUAGUGGCUUACCAAGGCUUUGACGGGUAGCCGGCAUGAGAGGGUGAACGGCCACCUUGGGACUGAGAUACGGCCCAGACUCCUACGGGACGCAGCAGUGGGGAAUCUUGCACAAUGGGCGGACGCCUGAUGCAGCAACGCCGCGUGCGGGAUGCCGUCCUUCGGGUUGUAAACCGCUUUCGAAUGUGACGAAGCGUGAGUGACGGUACUGGGUAAAGAAGCCCCGGCUAACUACGUG